UAUUGCUGUUAUGGUGUGCAAU
rnacentral:miRNA from 1 species